UUAAGAGCAAAUUAACAGGUCUCGGACUCCAAAGCGUUUUAUUAACUCAAAUCUUUAUUUUUUUGUGAUUUGGAAUCCGUAUGUUAUGCAGCUUGGUCCGAUUUUGCCACGUCAGCAAAUAGCUGCUGCGAAUAACUGAAUAUGCCAAAACAGCGUAAACUACGUACCGUUUUGGUUCACGUGUGCAAGGACGCCGUGUCGGGUAACAUAUCUAGACCAGCAAUGAGACAUUCAUGGAGUUGUUGAGGUGGGUGCUUCACCAUUUUUGUUAGUCCAGAUUUAAUUAUUAAUUUUACUUUUUUAGUUUUAAACUUCCAUUGUUUAGCGCAAUGUAAACAUUUAACAAGGAUAAAGGAAAUUUUGUACAUGAUACUGAGGGUAUAGUAUUAAAAACAAUUUUGGUCUUAUACAGACAAUUUACAAGCAUUUGUUACUAAACAAUGUCCUUUGAUCCUUCAAAACUCAUUUUGGACUUUACUCUUCCUUAUGAUGUAUGAAUGGAGGUUGCAUGCGUUGAGGAGGAGACCUGUUUCUCCAGCAACAAUGGGAACUUGAAAAGAGAACAACUAAACACAAACACUGAAACACAUCAUGAGGGGUAAGCAAUAAUAGCAUCAAGUUACCAUUGUACUAGUUAUGUUGGGAGUAUAUUAAACAAUGUUGUGGAACUGAGCAGUUAGCAUCAAACACAUCGUAAAUCUUCAACUGAAAUCCGAAAGUGCAAUCGGAAAGAAUUGUCAUAGAAAAGUUUAAAUUUCCAAACAGAUUCUAAACCAUCAGCAGAGUAGAACAAAUUAAAUUAAAAGUCAAAGAUGUAAGGUGCUUCCGAACUCCCAAGAACUUGGACACAGAUAGUUCAGAGAGACUAUAAACUCCAUUUCAUUAUAAGCAUUGUCACUGGGUCCUUUUAUACCAUCAAAUCUGGUGUAAGGAUUGAGUAGAGAUGGAUCAAUGCUAAGAAAACUAGCAACAAAUAAAAGGUUUUUAAAAAAAAAGAAUAUGUCAUUGCUUCCUCGAAGUAAAGAAGCAAACAACAAAAUCAAGAAAGAUAUAGUCGGAUGAAAAAAAGUUAAAUGAAUAAUCUUUGUGAUAAAUGUUUCCUAUUCUAAUUGAGUUAAAGCAUUCGAACGAACAUCUCAAAGCAAAGAACGAACUACUAAUGCAAUCUCAAGGUAAGAAUUACUAGCUACAUAUCAUAAUAUUACUAGUGAGUAAAGAAGUAUAGAGCUAAUCAAACGAAAACAUUUAUAAAUAAAGAGACCCAUCGAAGACAUCACGAAAAAGUGAACAAGAAUUAGAAACUAGCGAGCAAACGUUUUCUAUCAAUCUAAGAAGAGAGCCUCAACCUUUAUCUUAUCAGCAGAAGAACGUUAAAGAUAAGGUUGGGAAAUGUAAGGCCUGGACUUUAAACACCUGGCACGGAGAUAAAAGCGCCACAAUAAUGUUUCUUCUCUCAUCGUAAGAAAGGCUUUUUGGUAAAUUAUCCAGGUUUAGAGAACCUCUUACUCGUCUAGAGGGUUACCAGAAACCGUUAGGAGAUCACAGUAGUGGUAAGAGAGUAAGGACUGUAAGGUGAGGACGAAACCUUAUCUUUGCAGUCGCAGACAUGGCGGGUACUUCUCUAC
rnacentral:lncRNA from 1 species